UACGGGGGGCGCAAGCGUUGUUCGGAUUUACUGGGCGUAAAGGGCGCGUAGGCGGUCAGCACAAGUCAGUUGUGAAAUCUCCGGGCUUAACUCGGAAAGGUCAACUGAUACUGUGCGACUAGAGUGCAGAAGGGGCAACUGGAAUUCUCGGUGUAGCGGUGAAAUGCGUAGAUAUCGAGAGGAACACCUGCGGCGAAGGCGGCGUCCUGGACCAACACUGACACUGAGGAGCGAAAGCCAGGGGAGCAAACGGG
rnacentral:rRNA from 1 species